CAAUGGAUCACAAGAAAUACCUUCAUCAAAUGCAAACAAUCCACUGCUUAUGAGCUCAAUUAAAGUAGUGUGACCAUGAUCGCUCAACCCUCACUCACCCCCGUAUGGAACUGCGAUCCAGAUCGCACGUUCCCAAAUUCGAGAUCCAAAACUCAAAUUGGCCGAACCCAGUUUUGAAGAACAUCCAGAGAAAAGGAAAACAAACACAAAGCAGCGAUUCAAGGCAAAAAAAAAUACAUUUCUGAUAAAAAAAAUUAUAUGGAAAUUUACCAGAUUUUGUUUGAAAUUUUGAG
rnacentral:misc_RNA from 1 species